rnacentral:rRNA from 1 species
AAUCAACGCUGGCGGCGUGCCUCAGACAUGCAAGUCGAACGCGAAAGUCUCCUUCGGGAGGCAAGUAGAGUGGCGCACGGGUGAGUAACACGUAGGUAAUCUACCUUUGGAUGGGGAAUAACAACCGGAAACGGUUGCUAAUACCGCAUAAUGCAGCGGCACCUAAUGGUGACAGUUGUUAAAGCGGGGGAUCGAAAGACCUCGCGUCUGAAGAGGAGCCUGCGGCGGAUUAGCUAGUUGGUAAGGUAAUGGCUUACCAAGGCUACGAUCCGUAACCGGCCUGAGAGGGCGGUCGGUCACACUGACACUGACAUACGGGUCAGACUCCUACGGGAGGCAGCAGUCGGGAAUUUUGGGCAAUGGGCGAAAGCCUGACCCAGCAACGCCGCGUGAAGGAUGAAAUCCCUCGGGAUGUAAACUUCGCAAGAACGGGAAGAAUAAGCGAGAGUUAAUAUCUUUCGUGAUGACGGUACCGUUUGUAAGCUCCGGCUAACUCCGUGCCAGCAGCCGCCGC